rnacentral:rRNA from 1 species
GUGGGGAAUUUUGGACAAUGGAGGAAACUCUGAUCCAGCAAUACCGCGUGAGUGAAGAAGGCCUUCGGGUUGUAAAGCUCUUUUGUUGAAGAAAAAAUCUCGUGCAAACGAGGAUGAUGGUAUUCAAAGAAAAAGCACCGGCUAACUACGUGCCAGCAGCCGCGGUAAUACGUAGGGUGCGAGCGUUAAUCGGAAUAACUGGGCGUAAAGGGUGAGUAGGCGGUUUAGUAAGAUAGUUGUGAAAUUCCCGCGCUUAACGUGGGGACUGCGGCUAUGACUGCUAAACUAGAAUAGAACAGAGGAAAGUGGAAUUCCACGUGUAGCAGUGAAAUGCGUAGAGAUGUGGAGGAACACCAAUGGCGAAGGCAGCUUUCUGGGUUACUAUUGACGCUCAGUCACGAAAGCGUGGGGAGCAAACAGGAUUAGAAACCCUAGUAGUCCC